CAUGGAUUCUUUAUUGGCCAGGUGGACUUUACAGUCAGGAUUUCAAUCCGUCGAAGUUCUACGUAUUGUGACGAAAGUAGAGUCGCAAACAGAUACCCUUCUUAUUCAAUAUCCAGGACAGUCACGAGGUACAACGGAUCAUCUAACUGGGGCUUUACUAGUAAAUGGAUUCCUCAAGCUGAUUGUCAAGUUAUAUGAAUUGUUUUGGCUCCAAAGACUACUACGAAUAAACUUAAAGUACAGAGAA